AAGCAACACUCUUACAAGGUGAUCAUAACUGUCUGACACAACUUGAGCUUGCUAUAGCAACAAAGUCUCACCUUUUCUGGUACAUUUUCCUCUGUGAGACAAGCCAUUAUAUAGACUUAGUGUAA